UAGGGAAUCUUCCGCAAUGGGCGAAAGCCUGACGGAGCAACGCCGCGUGAGUGAUGAAGGUCUUCGGAUCGUAAAACUCUGUUAUUAGGGAAGAACAUAUGUGUAAGUAACUGUGCACAUCUUGACGGUACCUAAUCAGAAAGCCACGGCUAACUACGUGCCAGCAGCCGCGGUAAUACGUAGGUGGCAAGCGUUAUCCGGAAUUAUUGGGCGUAAAGCGCGCGUAGGCGGUUUUUUAAGUCUGAUGUGAAAGCCCACGGCUCAACCGUGGAGGGUCAUUGGAAACUGGAAAACUUGAGUGCAGAAGAGGAAAGUGGAAUUCCAUGUGUAGCGGUGAAAUGCGCAGAGAUAUGGAGGAACACCAGUGGCGAAGGCGACUUUCUGGUCUGUAACUGACGCUGAUGUGCGAAAGCGUGGGGAUCAAACAGGAUUAGAUACCCUGGUAGUCCACGCCGUAAACGAUGAGUGCUAAGUGUUAGGGGGUUUCCGCCCCUUAGUGCUGCAGCUAACGCAUUAAGCACUCCGCCUGAGGAGUACGGACCGCAAGGUUG
rnacentral:rRNA from 1 species